rnacentral:lncRNA from 1 species
CAGUCGAGCUCCUAUAGUGGGCGGAUCCCAGAUGAACUUCUACAACGAGACAGGCUCCAUCGACCAGGUCACUAGUCCGAGCUUCCAUGACAACCGAUCUUUGAUCGAGCUUCUACAAUAAAUGGCCUCCUUUCAGCCUUCUACAAGAAUCGGACUCCGUCUGAACUUCCAUAGUGGAUGGAUUUUGGACGAACUUCUACAACAGACGGGCUCCAGCAGCUGGAUUUCUACAAUGGCCGACCACCUUCGAUGUCUGCCGUACCUUCCUAGCCAUCAACCUCCAAUAGCAUCAGUCGGACUUCAACAAUGCCAACCAGACUUCCACAAGAUCCUCCAAACCCCUUCAGCAGACGAACCUACCCAACGCCAUUCGAAGUCCACUGCCGACUGAUCCUCUGUCGGAUUCCUCAUGAAAUCGGACUUCUCUAACAGAAAGUCCCCAUCUGAGCUUCUACAACAGAUGACUCCCACCUGCAGCAUCAGCACUCUAGGCACCCAACAAUAGUAGACCCGUCAACAACCUUAGAAAUAUCCGAACUUCUCCUGAAUUGAUGAGACAG